GGCAAGACAAUCUUAAUAACAGGGGCAAGUCGUGGAAUAGGCAAAGCAAUUGCACUAAAACUAGCAAAAAACGGGGCAAAUGUCUCAAUUGGGUCAAAAACCGUCAAUCCACACCCAGUCCUACCAGGCACUAUAUACUCCACAGUAAAUGAAAUAAGUAAUGCUGGAGGGAGAGGACUGGCAUGUGAACUGGAUAUUCGCAACGAAAAUGCUAUCGAACAAGCUGUGGAAAAAACAGUGGAUACUUUUGGAGGGAUUGAUGUGCUUAUUAACAAUGCCA